GUCUGGGUGCCUGGACACAUGCGGGAAUAAACACACACACACACACACACACACACACACAGCCUCCCCCAGGCCUCGCCUUCUUCCCUCUUUACUCCAUUCCCUAACUCCUGCCUCGUAGGCAGCGGUGGGGAGCCGCAGGCUGCUCCCCGAGUCCCAACGCUACUAGGGUGCUGUAACAGUGAUGAGGCGGCGUUGCAGUCUGGCUAGGCGCUG
rnacentral:lncRNA from 10 species